rnacentral:tRNA from 2 species
GCGGGUGUAGUUUAGUGGUAAAACCGCAGCCUUCCAAGCUGCUGUCGCGAGUUCGAUUCUCGUCACCCGCUCCA